rnacentral:rRNA from 1 species
UGCAAGUCGAACGCACCUUUCGGGGUGAGUGGCAGACGGGUGAGUAACGCGUGGGAACGUGCCCUUCAGUUCGGAAUAACCCAGGGAAACUUGGGCUAAUACCGGAUACGUGCGAGAGCAGAAAGAUUUAUCGCUGAAGGAUCGGCCCGCGUCUGAUUAGCUAGUUGGUGGGGUAAUGGCCCACCAAGGCGACGAUCAGUAGCUGGUCUGAGAGGAUGAUCAGCCACAUUGGGACUGAGACACGGCCCAAACUCCUACGGGAGGCAGCAGUGGGGAAUAUUGGACAAUGGGCGCAAGCCUGAUCCAGCCAUGCCGCGUGAGUGAUGAAGGCCUUAGGGUUGUAAAGCUCUUUCGUCCGGGACGAUAAUGACGGUACCGGAAGAAGAAGCCCCGGCUAACUUCGUGCCAGCAGCCGCGGUAAUACGAAGGGGGCUAGCGUUGUUCGGAAUCACUGGGCGUAAAGGGCGCGUAGGCGGCUUUAUAAGUCGGGGGUGAAAGCCUGUGGCUCAACCACAGAAUUGCCUUCGAUACUGUAGAGCUUGAGACCGGAAGAGGUAAGUGGAACUGCGAGUGUAGAGGUGAAAUUCGUAGAUAUUCGCAAGAACACCAGUGGCGAAGGCGGCUUACUGGUCCNGUUCUGACGCUGAGGCGCGAAAGCGUG